ensembl:snoRNA
AGUGGUCCGUACUGAAGCUGCAGCUGCUUCCGCACAGCUGCUGUGGUCAAAAGGGGCCCAGAGGAACAGUUUUCCUUGACAGUCAGCAUUCUGUUUGCGGUGACGGAUCUGCUGCCACAUCUUGGGAAAAUACAGUU